CCACCGCGGUUAGACGAGAGGCCCCAGUUGAUAUUAUAACGGCGUAAAGGGUGGUUAAGGAUAGACAAAAAUAAAGCCAAAUGGCCCCUCGGCCGUCAUACGCUUCUAGGAGUCCGAAGCCCUAACACGAAAGUAGCUUUAAUAAACCAACCUGACCCCACGAAAGCUGAGAAACAAACUGGGAUUAGAUACCCCACUAUGCUCAGCCGUAAACUUAGGCAUCCAGAUACAAUUAGAUGCCCGCCAGGGUACUACGAGCAUCAGCUUAAAACCCAAAGGACCUGACGGUGUCUCAGACCCCCCUAGAGGAGCCUGUUCUAGAACCGAUAACCCCCGUUUAACCUCACCACUCCUAGCCACCCCAGCCUAUAUACCGCCGUCGUCAGCUUACCCUGUGAAGGGUACAAAAGUAAGCAAAAUGGGCACAACCCAGAACGUCAGGUCGAGGUGUAGCGCAUGAAGUGGAAAGAAAUGGGCUACAUUUUCUGCCACAGAAUAUUACGAACAUGUACCAUGAAAUAGUGCUUGAAGGAGGAUUUAGUAGUAAAAGGGAAAUAGAGUGUCCCUUUGAACCCGGCUCUGAGACGCGUACACACCGCCCGUCACUCUCUCCUGUCAAAACGCAUUAAAAAUAUUUAAUACAAAAGCACCGACAAGGGGAGGCAAGUCGUAACACG
rnacentral:rRNA from 1 species